rnacentral:rRNA from 1 species
AGAGUUUGAUCCUGGCUCAGAUUGAACGCUGGCGGCAGGCCUAACACAUGCAAGUCGAGCGGAAACGGCAAUAAAGAUUCUUCGGAUGAUUUAUUGGACGUCGAGCGGCGGACGGGUGAGUAAUGCUUAGGAAUUUGCCCAGUUGAGGGGGAUAACUAUUGGAAACGAUAGCUAAUACCGCAUACGCUCCUUUCUGUAAUGGGAGGGAGGAAAGAGGGGGCUCUUCGGACCUCUCGCGAUUGGAUAAGCCUAAGUGAGAUUAGCUAGUUGGUGAGGUAAUAGCUCACCAAGGCGACGAUCUCUAGCUGGUCUGAGAGGAUGAUCACCCACACUGGGACUGAGACACGGCCCAGACUCCUACGGGAGGCAGCAGUGGGGAAUAUUGCACAAUGGGGGGAACCCUGAUGCACCCAUGCCGCGUGUGUGAAGAAGGCCUUCGGGUUGUAAAGCACUUUCAGCAGUGAGGAAGGUAGUAGAGUUAAUAGCCCUAUUAUUUGACGUUAGCUGCAAAAGAAGCACCGGCUAACUCCGUGCCAGCAGCCGCGGUAAUACGGAGGGUGCGAGCGUUAAUCGGAAUUACUGGGCGUAAAGCGCAUGCAGGUGGUUUGUUAAGUCAGAUGUGAAAGCCCGGGGCUCAACCUCGGAAGGUCAUUUGAAACUGGCAAGCUAGAGUACUGUAGAGGGGGGUAGAAUUUCAGGUGUAGCGGUGA